ensembl:lncRNA
ACCAUUAUUUAACCAGGUGUGUGUGUGUGUGUACCUGUGUCUGGCUGAGUACAGACUGAGGCCAGGCUGAAGAGAGAAAAUAUGAUGAAGGCGAUGAUGAUGAAGGUCAACUCCAGACCAGAGAACGGCAGCUCCAUCUAUACAAAUCCACAUAUUAAUUUGACAGGAACUAUAAUGGUAGAUAGUGUUGGAGCACAAGCAUUUCCCUACUCUACUUAUUAACCAUCAGCAAUAUCCCCAGUUACUAUGACAAUAACAUCUGAUUAAUAUGUGACCGAUUUGAUUUGGUAAUACCAUGAUUAACCACACAAUGUUACAAUAUCCCAAGUUGUUGCUGGGAAGCAGGUAGCCUGCCGGGUAGGAGCAUUGGGACGCUAACCGAAUGGUUGCCGGAUUGAAUCCCAGAGCCAACAAGGUAAAAAUGUGUCAGGAAGAAACAUUUCAGUUAAGUGCAUUCAGUUGAACAACUAACUAGGCAUCUCCCCCCUUUCCCUAAAUGCCUUGUGCAUCUCUGAGGAUGGCUGUAGUACUGUUGAUGACCACUAGGUGGUACCAAUACCCUGUAUCUCUCUGAGGAUGGCUGUAGUACUGUUGAUGACCACUAGGUGGUACCAAUACCCUGUAUCUCUCUGAGGGUGUAGUCCUGUUUAUGGCCACUAGGUGGUACCAAUACCCUGUAUCUCUCUGAGGGUGGCUGUCGUACUGUUGAUGACUACUAGGUUGUACCAAUACCCUGUAUCUCUCUGAGGCUGUCGUACUGUUGAUGACCACUAGGUGGUACCAAUACCCUGUAUCUCUCUGAGGGUGUAGUCCUGUUUAUGGCCACUAGGUGGUACCAAUACCCUGUAUCUCUCUGAGGGUGGCUGUCGUACUGUUGGUGACUACUAGGUGGUACCAAUACCCUGUAUCUCUCUGAGGGUGUAGUACUGUUGAUGACCACUAGGUGGUACCAAUACCCUGUAUCUCUCUGAGGGUGUAGUACUGUUGAUGACCACUAGGUGGUACCAAUACCAUAUUUUAUCCCUUCAUGGAGACAUUGGCUGUGUCCGAAUACCUGUACGUGGGUCCUAAGGAGCCUUUUGGACCCAGACUUGGCACUCCAGUACCACUUCCCGAGUGGUAGCAGAGAGAACAGUCUAUGACUGGGGUGGCUGGAGUUUUUGACAAUAUUUAGGGCCUUCCUCUGACAUUGCCUAGUAUAGAGGUCCUGGAUGGCAGGAAGCUUGGGCCCAGUAAUGUACUGGACCGUAUGCACUACCCUCUGUAGCGCCUUGCGGUCGGAUGCUGAGCGGUUGCCAUACUGUACCAGUCAGGAUGCUCUCGAUGGUACAGUUGUAUAACCUUUUGAGGAUCUGAGAACCCAUGCCAAAUCUUUUCAGUCUCCUGAGGGGGAAAAGGUGUUGUCAUGCCCUCUUCACAACUAUCUUGGUGUGUUUGGACCAUAAUAGUUUGUUGGUGAUGUGGACAUCAAGGAGUCGUGGGUGAACAGGGUUUAUAGGAGGGGACUAAGCACGCUCCCCUCUGGGGCCCCCGUGUUGAGGAUCAGCGUGACAGAUGUGUUGCUGCCUACCCUUAGCACCUGGAGGUGGCCCAUCAGAAAGUCCAGGAUCCAUUGCAGAGGGAGGUAUUGGGUCUCAAGGUCCUUAGUGCCCUCAAAGCUCAUCACUAAGCUAUGGUAUUAAACGCUGAGCUGUAGUCAAUCAGAGCCGGUGUAGUAGGAUUCAAUCUUAGUCCAUUUACGCCUUGCCUGUUUGAUGGUUCGUCAGAGGGCAUAGUGGGAUUUUUUAUAAAUAUCCAAAGUUGUGUCCCGCUCCUUGAAAGCGGCAGCCUUUAGCUCAGUGUGGAUGUGUCCUGUAAUUCAUGGCUUCUGGUUGGGAUAUGUACGUACGGUCACUGUGUGGACGACGUCAUCGAUGCACUUAUUGAUGAAGCCAGUUUGCAAAACAGUCCUGUAGCUUAGCAUCUGUGUCAUCUGACUAUUUCUGUAUUGAGCGAGUCACUGGUACUUCCUGCUUUAGUUUUUGCUUGUAAGCAGGAAUCAGGAGGACAUAAUUAUGGUCAGAUUUGCCAAAUGGAGGGCGAGGGAGAGCUUUAUAUGCAUCGCUGUGUGUGGAGUAAAGGUGGUCUAGUGUUAUUUUUUCUCUGGUUGCACGUGACAUGCUGGUAGAAAUGAGGUCAAACGGAUUUAAGUUUUCCUGCAUUAAAGUCCCCGGCCACUAGGAGCGCCGCUUCUGGAUGAGCAUGUUCUUCUUUGCUUAUGGCCUUAAACAGCUGGCUGAAUGCGGUCUUAGUGCCAGCAUCGGUUUGUGGUGGUAAAUAGACGGCUACGAAAAUAUAGAUGAAAACUCUCUUGGUAGAUAGUGUGGUCCACAACUUAUCAUGAGGUACUCUACCUCAGGCCAGCAAAACCUUGAGACUUCCUUAAUAGAUUGCGCACCAGCUGUUGUUGACAAAUAGAGACAGACCACCACCUCUCGUCUUAGGUAGCUGUUCUGUCUGUCCCUCUCCAUCUCCCUGACCGCCUUCCUCUGAUCAAGACAUCAACUGUCCCUCUCCAUCUCCCUGACCACCUUCCUCUGAUCAAGACAUCAACUGUCCCUCUCCAUCUCCCUGACCACCUUCCUCUGAUCAAGACAUCAACUGUCCCUCUCCAUCUCCCUGACCGCCUUCCUCUGAUCAAGACAUCAACUGUCCCUCUCCAUCUCCCUGACCGACUUCCUCUGAUCAAGACAUGAACCUUCCCUCUGCUGGGUUUUCCACCCUCAACAGUUUCCCGUGUGUAUCAAGAAUGGUCCAUCACCCAAAGGACAUCCAGCCAACUUGACACAACUUUGGGAAGCUUUGGAGUCAACAUGCGCAGCCAUCUCUGUGGAACACCUUCUGAGGACAAAACUAAAUAUUAGGAAGUUGUUCCUAAAGUUUUGUCCACCCAGUGUAUAUCCACUAUAACCCCUGAUCUACUGUACUGUGGUCAACUUUCAUUAAAUUCCUAUAUCUAACCACUGAAUGGAUAUCUAACCACUGAAUGGAUAUCUAACCACUGAAUGGAUAUCUAACCACUGAAUGGGUAUCUAACCACUGAAUGGAUAUCUAACCACUGAAUGGAUAUCUAACCACUGAAUGGGUAUCUAACCACUGAAUGGGUAUCUAACCACUGAAUGGGAUAUCUAACCACUGAAUGGGUAUCUAACCGCUGAAUGGGUAUCUAACCACUG